CAUAACGUCGCAAGACCAAAGAGGGGGACCUUCGGGCCUCUUGCCAUCGGAUGUGCCCAGAUGGGAUUAGCUAGUAGGUGGGGUAACGGCUCACCUAGGCGACGAUCCCUAGCUGGUCUGAGAGGAUGACCAGCCACACUGGAACUGAGACACGGUCCAGACUCCUACGGGAGGCAGCAGUGGGGAAUAUUGCACAAUGGGCGCAAGCCUGAUGCAGCCAUGCCGCGUGUAUGAAGAAGGCCUUCGGGUUGUAAAGUACUUUCAGCGGGGAGGAAGGGAGUAAAGUUAAUACCUUUGCUCAUUGACGUUACCCGCAGAAGAAGCACCGGCUAACUCCGUGCCAGCAGCCGCGGUAAUACGGAGGGUGCAAGCGUUAAUCGGAAUUACUGGGCGUAAAGCGCACGCAGGCGGUUUGUUAAGUCAGAUGUGAAAUCCCCGGGCUCAACCUGGGAACUGCAUCUGAUACUGGCAAGCUUGAGUCUCGUAAAGGGGGGUAGAAUUCCAGGUGUAGCGGUGAAAUGCGUAGAGAUCUGGAGGAAUACCGGUGGCGAAGGCGGCCCCCUGGACGAAGACUGAC
rnacentral:rRNA from 1 species